rnacentral:rRNA from 1 species
UGGGGAAUAUUGCGCAAUGGGGGGAACCCUGACGCAGCCAUGCCGCGUGAAUGAAGAAGGCCUUCAGGUUGUAAAGUUCUUUCGGUAUUGAGGAAGGUUGAUGUGUUAAUAGCACAUCAAAUUGACGUUAAAUACAGAAGAAGCACCGGCUAACUCCGUGCCAGCAGCCGCGGUAAUACGGAGGGUGCGAGCGUUAAUCGGAAUAACUGGGCGUAAAGGGCACGCAGGCGGUUAUUUAAGUGAGGUGUGAAAGCCCCGGGCUUAACCUGGGAAUUGCAUUUCAGACUGGGUAACUAGAGUACUUUAGGGAGGGGUAGAAUUCCACGUGUAGCGGUGAAAUGCGUAGAGAUGUGGAGGAAUACCGAAGGCGAAGGCAGCCCCUUGGGAAUGUACUGACGCUCAUGUGCGAAAGCGUGGGGAGCAAACAGGAUUAGAUACCCUGGUAGUCCACGCUGUAAACGCUGUCGAUUUGGGGGUUGGGGUUUAACUCUGGCGCCCGUAGCUAACGUGAUAAAUCGACCGCCUGGGGAGUACGGCCGCAAGGUUA